rnacentral:rRNA from 1 species
UACAGAGGUCUCAAGCGUUGUUCGGAUUCAUUGGGCGUAAAGGGUGCGUAGGCGGCGCGGUAAGUCGGGUGUGAAAUCUUGGAGCUUAACUCCGAAACUGCAUUCGAUACUGCCGUGCUUGAGGACUGGAGAGGAGACUGGAAUUCAUGGUGUAGCAGUGAAAUGCGUAGAGAUCAUGAGGAAGACCAGUGGCGAAGGCGGGGUCUCUGGACAGUUCCUGACACUGAGACACGAAGGCCAGGGGAGCAAACGGG